CCAGCUGGGCAUUCAGAGCUGAGAGUCCACAUGGACAAAUCCCUGAACUGAACAAUGAUACUCACGGGCCCUGCCUAUGCUGUCCCUCAGGCUCACCACCAUCCUCGUUUCCACACUGUACCAAGUCAAGCCCAGCUCCGGGUUUGGUGGAUAAACAGGACAAAGUGAUGACCAGCAAGCUGCCCACCUCCUCCUGGCUAAGAAUAGAAGUUGUUCCAGGUUGAAGGGACCCCCAAACCUGGAGCCUCUCACCUCAUCAGCAGGAAUUUUCCACAUUUGCUGAGAUUUCUGUUUGCCUUCUCCAUUAGCUCAACAGCCUGGGUGGAAAGAUGACUAAGCAGGUUUUCUGAGAUGCUACAAUUCCAGAGAGUGCAAAAGGGGCAUACGCUUUGACUUCUUCGUGGGUCCCUUCCUCUUGGGAGUCUUCUGAUCUUCAGGGAACAGCCUAGAAGAAACGGUGUGACGGACAGUACCUCACCUUCCCAGCACAUAGAAUCACCUGAGAGACAGACCUCCGGGCACGCCCAGCAGGGCCUAGCUUGUGUUGACUUGGGCAGGACUAAUCUCAGCUGUGGGGAGGACCCACAACUGUAUGAAGAAAUCUAGCUGGGCGCUAGCAUGCAAAUGCUUCCGCAGCUCUCUGCUCUGGACUAUGGCUGCAGCGUGACCAGCUCCCUGGGGGCUCUGCUGGCGGCCCUGCUGUGACAGACUGUGCCUUGAACUCUACUUUUCCUGUGGUAUUUUUAUCACAGCAAUAGGAAAAGUAAGACAAAUGGCCUAGUUUUUGAAGUUUAGAGUCCAUUAGAUCUCAGAGGCCAUCUCCCAGGGGUGAGCUCUCAGGGUCCUGGUGACACCCUCACAGAGCCCCCUUAGCUGGAGUACUGGCCCUCAGGUCAUUGUCUAUAGGCAGAGUAAAACUCAGUCUUUCUCUCACCUCUAAACUUGGAAGGCUCCCAUGGACGCCAGAAUUUCUCUCCUGCCAGCUGUCCACGGGCCACGUUAAGGAGGCCAGAAGUUUGAGUUGUGCUCCUAGCACUUAGCCCUAGGGAACCCUUCUCUGACACAACGCUAUAGUCCCCACACCCCAACCAAACUGGAAACAAAAGCAUCUCCAAAGUAGAAAUAAUAGACAAUAGACAAAUAACAGGCAUGCUAACAUACUUCCUUGGCUGUGCUUUAGAGGAAUAAUCACUUUCAGUCAUUGCUGGUAGAGGCUUAAUUGCUAAAAUCUUGGCGCAAGAUAAUUUGGCCGUAUGUAUCAAAGCCACUAACACAAAGAUCCUUUAGUCCAAGAUUCCAAGUCCAAGAAUGGAUUCUGCAACUACACUUUGUAUGUAAUAAAUGACGCAUAUCUGAAACUUAUCACGGCGCUGUUUGCAAAGCCGAAGCAGGAAGUUACCUAACUCAGAAGCUGAGUUGAAUAAAAUAAUGGAUGAUGAAUCAACCAUGUGAUGAAAUACUAUGCAGCUGUAAAAAAGGGCCAGCGCAGUAUUUUCGUACCAUUAGAAAAAGUGCUUCAAGAAAGCGAAGCGACAAGACAGAGCUGUGUGCAAAGGGUAUUACCUUUUGUGAAGAAAAACCACAUUCUUUCCUAUGAAAAAUAGAAAUUUAGAGUUUCACGCCUUCCCUCAAGAAAACAGGGGAGGAAUGGGAAGAGCUUAAGAGUCCUGGAAUGAGCUUGCUCUGCCAAGUAUUCCACCUUUGAACAAGAAGUGAGGUAACAGGUGAAGUCAAGGGCUCUGGACACUCUCGGGGACAAGGGGAAGGCCUGGCUGGCCCCUCACUGGGAUUAAUCUCUGCCUUCAUACUCUAGCCCCACUUCUAAGCUAACCUGAAGGAAUGAGAUUGUCCUGUUCAACGAGGAAAGGGCAAGGAUGGGGCUUAAUGCACAAGAUGUUGAAUUGAGAAAAGCACAGGGAAAAAGAGGCGGCGGUUCUGGUCAUGUCUGUGCCGUGUGUGCACACUGUGAGUGCUUUGAUUCCAGCAAGCGAAGCCACAGGAUACAGGCCUGGGGCACUCUCCUCCAGUGCCAGCACUGAAGGCAGAGGCAGAUAGAUCUCUGAGCCUAAGGCCAGUCUGAUCUACACAGUAAGUUCUAGAACAGUCAGCUACAUAGUGAGACCUAUCUCAAUAAAUAAAUAAAUCAUUGAA